rnacentral:rRNA from 1 species
UACGAAGGGGGCUAGCGUUGCUCGGAAUCACUGGGCGUAAAGCGCACGUAGGCGGAUUGUUAAGUCAGGGGUGAAAUCCUGGAGCUCAACUCCAGAACUGCCUUUGAUACUGGCGAUCUCGAGUCCGGGAGAGGUGAGUGGAACUGCGAGUGUAGAGGUGAAAUUCGUAGAUAUUCGGAGGAACACCAGUGGCGAAGGCGGCUUACUGGUCCAUUACUGACGCUGAGGUGCGAAAGCGUGGGGAGCAAACAGG